rnacentral:rRNA from 1 species
GAUGAACGCUGGCGGCGUGCCUAAUACAUGCAAGUCGAGCGAACGGACGAGAAGCUCGCUUCUCUGAUGUUAGCGGCGGACGGGUGAGUAACACGUGGAUAACCUACCUAUAAGACUGGGAUAACUUCGGGAAACCGGAGCUAAUACCGGAUAAUAUUUUGAACCGCAUGGUUCAAAAGUGAAAGACGGUCUUGCUGUCACUUAUAGAUGGAUCCGCGCUGCAUUAGCUAGUUGGUAAGGUAACGGCUUACCAAGGCAACGAUGCAUAGCCGACCUGAGAGGGUGAUCGGCCACACUGGAACUGAGACACGGUCCAGACUCCUACGGGAGGCAGCAGUAGGGAAUCUUCCGCAAAGGGCGAAAGCCUGACGGAGCAACGCCGCGUGAGUGAUGAAGGUCUUCGGAUCGUAAAACUCUGUUAUUAGGGAAGAACAUAUGUGUAAGUAACUGUGCACAUCUUGACGGUACCUAAUCAGAAAGCCACGGCUAACUACGUG